rnacentral:rRNA from 1 species
AUUGGACAAUGGGCGAAAGCCUGAUCCAGCAAUGCCGCGUGAGUGAAGAAGGCCUUCGGGUUGUAAAGCUCUUUUACCCGGGAAGAUAAUGACCGUACCGGGAGAAUAAGCCCCGGCUAACUCCGUGCCAGCAGCCGCGGUAAUACGGAGGGGGCUAGCGUUGUUCGGAAUCACUGGGCGUAAAGCGUGCGUAGGCGGCCAUUCAAGUCAGAGGUGAAAGCCCAGGGCUCAACCCUGGAACUGCCUUUGAAACUAGAUGGCUGGAACACGGGAGAGGUGAGUGGAAUUCCGAGUGUAGAGGUGAAAUUCGUAGAUAUUCGGAAGAACACCAGUGGCGAAGGCGGCUCACUGGACCGUUGUUGACGCUGAGGCACGAAAGCGUGGGGAGCAAACAGGAUUAGAUACCCUGGUAGUCCACGCCGUAAACGAUGAUAACUAGCUGUUGGGGCUCUUGGAGCUCCAGUGGCGCAGCUAACGCAUUAAGUUAUCCGCCUGGGNAGNACG